UACGGAGGGAGCUAGCGUUGUUCGGAAUUACUGGGCGUAAAGCGCACGUAGGCGGCGACUCAAGUUAGAGGUGAAAGCCCGGGGCUCAACUCCGGAACUGCCUUUAAGACUGCAUCGCUUGAAUCCGGGAGAGGUGAGUGGAAUUCCGAGUGUAGAGGUGAAAUUCGUAGAUAUUCGGAAGAACACCAGUGGCGAAGGCGGCUCACUGGACCGGUAUUGACGCUGAGGUGCGAAAGCGUGGGGAGCAAACAGG
rnacentral:rRNA from 1 species